GCUCAGCAAGAAACAACCACCUCCCUGCUCCACACACCCUGCAAAACUAAUUUGACUGAAAGAAGGCUUACGUCAAUCACACUGAUGAUCAAGAGCGAAGAGAGGACGAGGAUGGGCAGAAACAUCACACACACACGCAGCACAGAGACGGGGCUGGAAGGCUGAGCAAGAGUCACAGCUACAGCUUGGAAGUACUGGAAAGCGGCAGCGGAUUCUCAGGGUGAUGGGAAAAGCAAAAUCUGCUUCACUAAAACUCCCUCGGUGAUUAACUUUUUCAGCAGUCCUCCAAUUCCCGACUAGAAGGCAAAAGCCCGGCCCAGGCCACGGGAGGCACUUCACUAAAGAAGAAAAACCUGAGCUCCAGCAAGCUCAAAUUGAACGAGAACCCAGAGCAACUCAGUCCAGGCUGCACAAAUUGAGUAGCACUGCUCUGCAGCUCGCUGCACUAAAAGUGAAAGAUAUUUUCCAUUACAGCAAGUGCUCCCACAGAAGGAUCACGAGCUGCACACGGAGCCUUAGUCUCCAAAUAGGCACCCAUGGCCCAGUCAUCCCUUAGCCUGAGAACUCGGAGAGCCAGGCUGUAAUAAUGGGGCUGCCGUGUGAGCACAGCAGCCAUCGAGCUGCUCCGGUUCAUUUCCCAGAGGUUGAGCUGCAGUGUGUCCAGUAUUUAAAAGUAUGGAACUUGUUUCAGGGCUGACCCAUUCUUGCCCAAUUCAUCUUCCCCGUGUGAAGUUAUUUAGCAAACAGCCAAGUUCAGCUGGAAAUCGUUUUUCAUCCCCUCCAACUUCUAGUCACAUGAGCAGCUGGCCAGCUACAUGUUAACAAGCGCCUCAGAACUCCUAAGACACCACGGGCCUCUGUUCCCUUCAGUGCAUUCUUGUAAAGAAAUAAUAAAAAAUAAAACCUGCCUUUACCACCCCC